AAGAAUGUAAUUUAUUUUAAAAUGUUAGGCUUCAAACUUAGCUAUGAGCUUAGGCUCCGUUCUUG
rnacentral:tRNA from 1 species